rnacentral:rRNA from 1 species
CAACAGCGUAUAUUAAAGUUGUUGCAGUUAAAAAGCUCGUAGUUGGACCUUGGACCUGGACAGGCGGUCCGCCUCACGGCGUGUACUGUCUUGCUGGGUCUUUCCUCUUGGUGAUCUGUUGUUUCGGCAGCAGGGAACCAGGACUUUUACUUUGAAAAAAUUAGAGUGUUCAAAGCAGGCUCGACGCCGGAAUAUAUUAGCAUGGAAUAAUAAAAUAGGACGUGCGGUUCUAUUUUGUUGGUUUUUGGAAUCGCCGUAAUGAUUAAUAGGGACAGUCGGGGGCAUUAGUACUCACAUGCUAGAGGUGAAAUUCUUGGAUUUUGUGAAGACUAACUUCUGCGAAAGCAUUUGCCAAGGAUGUUUUCAUUAA